rnacentral:lncRNA from 1 species
CUGGUGUUGCCCCAACUGUUAUAUCUCUCCAAUUGACAAGAAGAUCAGGAGUUGGCAGGCUGAGGUAGUUAUGGACUCUGUCAGCCUCCUCAUUAUGAGCUGCUGCAAGAUCUGCUGGUACUAAGGAUGCCACUGGGGCAGGUGACUAAGGAAACUGAACCUACAGGAACAUGAUGCUGGUAAACUGUAAAAGAGAGGUGGGUCACCCACCACAUGGGUCAGAAGAAAGCACCUUGAGGAAGUAUGGUCAUUUAACAAAAUAGAAGAAUUCCAAAAAUUUGUAAAGAAAAGACC